UACAGAGGGUGCAAGCGUUGUUCGGAAUUAUUGGGCGUAAAGCGCGUGUAGGCGGCUUUGCAAGUCGGGUGUGAAAGCCCUCAGCUCAACUGAGGAAGUGCGCCCGAAACUGCAGAGCUUGAGUGCCGGAGAGGGUGGCGGAAUUCCCCAAGUAGAGGUGGAAAUUCGUAGAUAUGGGGAGGAACACCGGUGGCGAAGGCGGCCGCCUGGACGGG
rnacentral:rRNA from 1 species